GUAUAGAAAAUAUUAAACGACUCUCGGCAACGGAUAUCUCGGCUCUCGCAUCGAUGAAGAACGUAGCGAAAUGCGAUACUUGGUGUGAAUUGCAGAAUCCCGUGAACCAUCGAGUCUUUGAACGCAAGUUGCGCCCGAAGCCUUCGGGUUGAGGGCACGCCUGCCUGGGCGUCACAC
rnacentral:rRNA from 1 species